GAAAUUUACUAAUCAACAUUGGAGAUCAAAUACAGAAGAAAAAACCGAGUAAGAAAGAUGUUUAUGUGCCUGAUAGAAGAUUUGGAACCAAGGAGAAAACGUAGAGGAGAUUCAGUUCGAUUCACAUCACCGCCAGAAUUUUAACAACCAGAAAGAAGGAAACAGAGAUCGAUAGUACCAAUUCGAUGAAACGCCGCCAUCUCUUAACCAUCCGAGACUAAAUCUCGCCUCGUGUCUGUACAUAGAGAAAGUGAAAGACGAAGAAAAGGUCUUCAACAUCGAAAUCAUCGCCUGUUAUCGUAAUCAACAACUUCAGAUUCGGUAACCGAUCGCGAACUUUGAACUAUCGAGCGGCCGAUCGAAUUGAUCCACUCCUCCUUUUCGCGCUCCGACUCAGCGAUGAAGUACAUAGUGUCUUGACCGGUGGAGAGUUCGAAGGCGCUGGGCUUAUGGAGGAUAUCCUCGGCUCCCUUGACGGUGAGGCAGGUAUUGACAGGGAUAACGCCGCGUGGAAUGGAGGCGCGAGUAACGAUAGAGUCCUUAAACCAGAAGAGUUUACCUCGUUUCAGAACGAACCAACGGCGACGCCAGGUUCUGAGGUAUUCGCCCUGCUUGUUGAGCCAGCCGGCGCGCUCGGGGCUGGUCCAGAAUUCGACGCCCUUGUAAUCCUCCGGACUCGGAUCUUGGCCGGUCGCCGCUCGCCACAGACUCUCCAUUCUACCGGAGCUCAUCGGCCGCGACGGAAUCGGAGGGAGAAGGGGAAGAGAUACAGAGAGGAGUUUGCCUUUGAUUUUUUAAGCCCAAGGGU
rnacentral:misc_RNA from 1 species